UGUGCCUUCAGGUACUGGGAGCGUCUGUGCCCUUCAGGACACUUUCCAUGGAAAGUAAACGCUGUACCACUUCUGGCCCCACAUGUGUGUGGUCAUAUCAGAUUUAGGAAUUUUGUCCUCAUCGAGAGAGAGAGUCUUAGCUAGUGUUUGGGUUUGGGCCAGGGACUUAGAUAGGGCUGAAUGGACAGGAGACCUGUGAUCACCCUGGAAGGCUGAAGUGAGGGCCCAUGCACUAAUGCGUGUAAGGUUUAGGAUUAUGGUAAGAGUUGGUGUGAACUUUAGGUUGAGGGGUAUGGUGCGGGUCAAGGUUACUGUUAGGUUUAGGUCCCAGGAGGUUCUAGGCAUUGAACCCCUAGCAGUGCAGUGGUCUCCACAUAGGGUUGAAUGGAGACUGCAUGAAAGCCUCUAGUUCAGGCUUCGUCUUUCCAUGCCAGAGCCAGCCUCCCGUGUGUGCCACUCUUCAGUUGGGCCUCAGCACCCUCCUUGUGCAACUCCAUGCCGGCAGUGGAAUCGACAUGAUGAUGUUCCAAUUCCAUACCGAAUAAUACUUCAGGGGUCUGGGCCCUAUGGGCGUGGUGUUCUCAGAAUUCGGAACUCGAUCCCCAUUGGGAGAGAGCCAUCGCUAGGGUUAGGGUAUGUUCCAGCGACAUAAGCAUGGCUGAAGUGACACCAGUCCCUUGAGCUACAUGGAGGGCUGAAUAGGGCGCAUGCACAGGUGCAGGUCAGAUGUAGGGUUACGGUUAGAGUUGGUGAGGUUGAUGUGUAUAGUUAUGUUCAUUGUUAUAGUUCUGUUCAUAGUUAUGUUCAUGGUGAGGUUGGUGUGUAUAGUUAUGUUCAUUAUUGGGUUUGGGGUUAAGUCCUAGGUGGCUCCAAGCGAUAAACCAACAGCAAUGCAGUGAGCUUCCCGGAGGGCUCAGUGGAGGGCAUACUGCAGGUUGUCCGUCAUGCUUAGUCUUUGUUUGCCAGGGCAAGCCUCCAUCGUGGGCCAUUCUUUGAUUGAGCCUCAGCAACCACUUCUGCAGCAACAUCUGGGCUUUGGAUAUUACAUGGUGAUAUUCCACAUUCCACGCCGAGUAAUACUCCUCCUCCUCUGGACUCCAUGUGUGUGGUAUCCUCAGACUAAAGAAUUGGGUCACCAUCAGGAGAGAGCCUUAGUUUGAGUUAGGGUUUGCUUCAAGGCCAUAAGCAGUGCUGAAGCAACACUACUCACGUUAUCUACAUGGGGUGUUGGAUGAGGGACCAUGCGCACGUGAGGGUCUGGUGUAGGAUUAGCGUUAGAGUUGGAGUGAGGUUUAGGUUGAGGAGUACUGUGAGGGUCACGGUUAGGGUUAGGGUCCAGGAGGCCCUAGGUGCUGAAACCCAAGCAGUGCAGUGAUCUCCCUGGAGGGCUGAGGGAGGUCGCAUUGGAGGGUGCUGGCCAGGCUUAGUCUUUAGGGGCUAGGGCCAGCCUCAGAUAUGGACCACACUUUGGUUGGGCCUCAGCAACCCCCUUGUGCAGCUCCCUCUGGGCUUUGGAAAUUACCUGGUCAUGUUCCACGUUCCAUGCCGAGGAAUCCGGCUCCUCUUCUGAACCCCACGUGUGUGGUUUGCACAGAAGUAAGUAUUGGGUCACCAUGGGGAGACAGCCUAAAAUGGAGUUCGGGUUCGGUCCAGGGACGUAAGCAGGGCCGAAGUGACAGCAGUCCCGUGAUCUCCCUGGAGGGCUGAAGUGAGGGUCCCUGCGAGGGUGCGGGUCAGUUGUAGGUUAUGUUUAGAAUAGGGGUGAUGUUUAGGUUGAGGGGUACUUUGAAGGUCAUGGUUAUUGUUAGGUCUCUCGAGGCUCUAGGCGCAACAACCCCAGGAAGGAUGUGGUCUCCAAGAAGGGCUGAGUGGAUCCCACAUGGGAUUGUGCUGAUCAGGCUUUGUCUUUGAGUGCCCGAUCAAGCCUCUCGUGUGAGUCACUCUUCAGUUGGGCCUCAGGAACCCCCUUGUGCAGCUCCUUGUGGGUAAUGGAAAUGACACGAUUUGCUCCAAGAUCCAUGCCGAGGAAUCCUGCAAAGCUUUGGGCCCCAUGUGUGUGGUCUCUCAGAGUUAGGCAUUGGAUCCCCAUCGGGAUUCAGCCACAACUAGGGUUAGGGUUCGGUCCAGGGAGGUAAGCAAGGCCGAAGCAACAGCAAUCCCAUUACCUACAUGGAGGUUUGAAUGAGGGCCCAUGCGCGGGUGAGGGUCAGGUGUAGGGUGUCAGGUGAAGCCUUAGAGUUGGGGUGAGGUUGAGGUUGAGGAGUAUGUUGAUGGUCACGUUUACGGUUUGGGUUAGGUUCCAGGAGGUACGAGGUGCUGUACCCCAAGGAGUCCAGUGGUCUCACUGGAGGAAUCAGUGGAGGGCAAAUGGUAGGUUGCCCUCAGGCUUAGUCUUUGGGUGCCGAAGCCAGCAUCAGUUGUGGGGCAAUCUUCGGAUGGGCCUCAGCAAACCCUUUUUGCAGCUUCCCCUGGGCUUUGGAAAUUACCUGUCGAUGUUCCACGUUCCAUGCGAGUAACGCUGCAGCGCUUCUGGGCCCCAUAUGCAUGGUGACUGAGACUUAGGAAUUUGUUCCUCAAUGAGAGACAGCCAUUACUAGGGUUAGGUACCGGCCCAGGGAUGUAGAUAGGGCCAAAUCCACAUGAGUCCGUGAUCGUUCUGGAGGACUCCAUAGGGCCCAUGCUUGGGUGUGGGUCAUGUGUAGGGUUAGCGUUAGAGUUGGUGUGAAGUUUAGGUUGAGGUGUAUGGUGAGGGUCAAGUUUAGUGUUAGGGUUAGGUCCCAGGAGGUUCCAGGCAGUGAACGCCUAGCAGUGCAGUGGUCUCCACAGAGGGCUGAGUGGAAGCUGCAUGCAAGUCUACAGUUCAGACUAAGUCUUUGCGUGCCAGGGCAGCAUCCUAUGUGUGACACUCUUCAGUUGGGCCUCAGCAACCUCCUUGUGCAGCUCCAUCCCAGCAGUGCAAAUGAAAUGAUGAUGUUCCAAUUCCAUCUGAAGAAUACUGCAGGGAUUUGGACCCUAUGUGCAUGGUGUUCUCAGAGUUAGGAACUGUAUCCCCAUUGGGGGAGAGCCAUAGCUAGGGUCAGGAUUCGGUCCAGGGACAUAAGCAGGGCCGAAGCAACACCAGUCCCAUUAUCUACAUGGAGGGCUGAAUUGGCACCCAUGCAGGGGUGCAGGUCAGGUGUAGCGUUACCUUUAGAGUUGGGGUGAGGUUGAGGAUGAUGUGUAUGGUUCUGGUCAAUAUAAUGGUUAGGUUUUGUCCCAGGUCCUCCAGAAGCUGAAGCACCAGCAGUGCUGGUCUUCCUGCAGGGUUCAGUGGUGAGCACAUGGGAGGGUGUAGGUCAUGCUUAGUCUUUGAGAGCCAGGGUGAGCCUCCUUUGUGGGCCACACUUUGGUUGAGCCUCAGGAACCGCUUCUGAAGAAACAUCUGGGCUUUGGAUAUUACAUGGUGAUAUUCCACGUUCCAUGCUGAGGAAUCCGCCUCUUCUUCUGGAAGGGAGGUAUCCUCAGACUUAAGAAUCGGGUCACCAUCUGGAGAGAGCUUUAGAUAGAGUUGGGUUUCAGACCAGGGCCAUAAGGAGGGCCAAAGCUACCCCAUUCCACUUACCUCCAUGGGGUGAUGAAUGAUAGCCAGUGUGCAGGUGAGGGUCAGUUGUAGGGUUAGCGUUAGUGUAGGAAUGAGUUUGAGGUUCAGGGUAUGGUGAGGGUCAUGGUUAGUGUUAGGGUUAGGGCCCAAGAAAUUCCAGGCAGUGAACCCCUAGCAUCACAGUGGUCUCCACGGAAGGCUGAGUGGUGGCUGCAUGGGAGCCUUCAGUUCAGACUUAUUCUUUGUGUUUCAAGGCCAGCCUCCUGUGUGUGCCACUAUUCAUUGGGUCUCAGUAGCCUCCUAGGGCAGCUCCAUCCCAGCAGUGGAAACGAAAUGAUGAUGCUCCAAUUCCAUACCGAGUAAUACUGUAGGGGUUUUGACCUAUAUGCGUGGUGUUUCAGAAUUAGGACCUGGAUACCCAUUGGGAGAGAACCACGGAUAGGGUGAGGUUCUGUCCAGGGACAUAAGCAGGGCUGAAGAGACACCGGUCCCGUUAUCUCCAUGAGAGCCUGUAUGAGGGCCAAUGCACGGGUGAGGGUCAGGUGUAGGGUUAGCAUUAGCGUUGGGGUGAGGUAUAGGUUGGGGAGUAUGGGGAGGGUCACGGUUGGGGUUAGGGCUAGGUUCCAGGAGGCCCAAGGUGCUGAAUCCAAGGCAGUGCAGUUGUUUCCCUGGGGGACCCAGAGGAGGGCGCAUGGGAGGGUGCCAGUCAUGUUUAUUCUUUGGGUGCCAAGGCCAGCCUCUUGUGUGGGCCACUCUUCGGUUGGUCCUCAGCAACCCCCUUGUGCAGGUCCCUCUGGGCUUUGAAAAUGGUAUGGUGAUGUUCCCCGUUCCAUGCCAAGUAAGCCUGCACCGCAUCUGGGCCCCAUGUACGUGGUUUUCUCCAAGUUAGGAAUUGGGUCCCCAUCGGGAAUGAGCCAUAGCUAGGGCAAGGGUUUGAUCCAGGGAUGGGACGUAAGCAAGGCUGAAGAAACAACAAUCCCUUUACCUCCAUGGAGGGCUGAAUGAGGGCUCAUGCACGGAUGCGGGUCACGUGUAGGGUUAGCGUUAGACUUAGGGUGAGGUUCCGAUUGAGGAGUAUGGAGUGGGUCAUGAUUAGGAUGAGGGAUAGCUCCAAGGAGUCCCCAGGUGAUGAACCCCAUGCAGUGCAGUGGUCUCCUGGGAGGGCUCAGUGGAGGGCACAUGGGAGGGUGAUGGUCAGGUUUAGUCUUUGGUUACCAGUGCCAGCCUUGCAUGUGGGCCACUUUUGGGCCUCAGCAAGCACUUUGGCACCUCCCUCUGGUAUUUGGACAUGACAUGGUGGUGGUCCACGCUCCAUGUGGAGUAAUCCUGCACCGCUUCUGGGCCACAGGUGCAUGAUAUUCUCUGCAUUAGGAAUUGGAUCCCCAUCGGGAUAGAGAAAUAGCUAGGGUUACAGUUAGAUCCAGGGACAUAAGCAAGGCCAAAGCAACAACAAUCCAUUUAUCUCCAUUGAGUAUGAAUGAGGGCCAUGUGCGGUAGCAGGUCAGGUGUAGGGUUAGUGUUAGAAUUGGGGUGAGGUUUCGGUUGAGGAAUACGGCGAGGGUCAUGGUGAGGGUUAGGGGUAGGUUCCAGGAGGUGCUUAAGUGCAGAAUCCUAAGUAGUGCAGUGUUCUCCUAGAGGGUUGAGUGGAGGGCGCAAAGGAUGGUGCCAUUCCUUCUUAGUCUUAGGGUGUCAAGGCCCUCCUUGGGUGUAGGACACUCCUUAGUUGGGCCUCAGCAGAGCCCUUGUGCAGCUCCCUCUGAGCUUUGGAAAUGACAUGGUGAUGUUCCAGGUUCCAAGCCGAGUGAUUUACACCAUGAGUGUGCUGUUGUCAGUCAUUGGAAUUGGGUUGCCAUGAGGAGGGAGACUUAGCUAGGGUUAGGGUUCAGUGCAGGGACAUCACCAGGGCAGAGUGACUCCAGUCUCGUGAAUUUCAUGGAGGGCUUAAGUGAGAAACCUUGCGAGGGUACGGGUCUGGUAUAGAGUUAGUGUGAGAGAUAGGUUUAGGUUUAGGUUGAGUGCUAGGGUCAGGGUUCUGGUUAGGGUUGGGGAUAGGUCCCAGGAGGCUCCAGAUGCUGAACCCACAGCAGUGCAGUGGUCUCCCCGAAGUGCUGACUGGAGUACACAAUGGAUGCUGUGGGUCAGGGUUAGUCUUUCGGUUGCCAGGCCAGACAACUGUUUGUGGCACUCUUCGGGUAAGCCUCAGGAAUGCUCUCGGGCACAACAGAGGCUGCCGGUCAGGAUUAGUCUUUGGGUUCCAAGGCUAGACAAGUGUAUUGGACACUCUUUGGGGGAGACCUCAGGAAUCCUCUUAUGCAGCAGCAGCUGGGCUUUGGAAAUGACAUGGUGAUGUUCCAUGUUCCACGCCGAGUGAUCCUGCACUGCUUCUCGACCCCAUGUGCAUUCUGUUGUCAGACAUUGUAAUUGGGUACCCAUGGGGAGUGAGUUUUAGCUAGGGUUAGGGUUCAGUGCAGGGAUGUGGCCAGGGCCAAAGGACUCCAGUCUCGUGAUCUCCCUCGAGGGCUGAAGUGAGGGCACAUGCGCUGGUGUGGGUCUGGUGUAGAGGUAUUGUGAGAUAUAUGGUCAGGUGAGAUUGAGGGUUAUGCUCAGGGUUAUGGUUAGGGUUAGGGUAGGUCAAAGAAGGAUCCAGGCGCUGUACUCACAGCAGUGCAAUUGUCUCCCCGAAGGGCUGAGUCAGUGCACAAUGGAGGCUGCUCGUCAGAAUUAGUCUUUGGGUUCCAAGGACGGACAACUCUAUAAGGUCUGGUGUAGAUAGGUGUGUCUAGUGUGAUAGAAACUGUUAGAUUUAGGUUGAGGGUUAUUGUUAGGGUUACGGUUAGGUUUAGAGUUAGGUCCCAGGAGUCUCCAGGUGUUGAACCCACAGCAGUGCAGUCGUCUCCUGGAAGGGUUGAGCGGAGUGCACAAUGGAGGCUGCCAGUCAGGAAUAGUCUUCGGUUUCCAAGGCCAGACAAUUGUAUCGGGAACUCUUCAGUUAGGCCUGUUGAAUCCUCGAGUGCAGUGGCAGCCGGGCUUUUGAAAUGACAUGAUGAUGUUCCACAUUCCACUCCAAGUAUUCCUGCACCGCUUCUCGAUUCCAUGUGCGUGCUGAUGUCAGACUGUGAAUUGGGUCCCCAUGGGGAAGGAGCCUUAGCCAGGGUUAGGGUUCGGUGCAGGGAAGUCACCAGGGCCGAAGCAACUCCAGUCUAGUGAUAUCCCUCAAGGGCUGACCUGAGAUCCCAUGCGAGGGUGUGGCUCAAGUGUAGGGUUAGGGUUAGAAAUAGGGUUACGAUUAGGUUGAGGGUUAUGGUUAGGGGUACAGUUAGGGUUUUCUUCGUUCCCAAGGCUCCAUUCACUGAACCCACAGCAGUGCAGUUGCCUCCACAAAUGACUGAGUGGUGUGCACAACCGAGGCUGCGGGUCAGGAUUAAUCUUUGGGUUCUAAGGACAGACAACUGUAUCUGGUCUGGUGUAGAUAGAUGUGUCUAGUGUGAGUGUUCAGGUAUGUGCAUGAACCUGCCCCCCAGUGUGGGAGGGGAUUCACGCAUGUGCCCUCCCCCCUCAGGCUCUGGAGGGGGUCACCUGUGCACAGCACCACUAGUCAGCAAGGGAGUAGUGAUGCCACUAUUAAAUCUGACGUUUCAUGGACGGCUGUUUUCACUUUCACAGCUGAAGAAGCAUGCAUCUCUUAAGGUCAGGGGUAGGGUUAGCAUUACAGUUAGGGGUUAAGAUAAGGGCUAGGUCAUGCUUGCUCUCCCCCCUCAGCACGGGAAGACUUCAUGCAUCACCCUACUAUCCUGAGCAAGGGAGAGUGUUCACCCUUUCACCCCAACCCCUGAGAGUGGUAAAAUAUUGAAGCACGUGCUCCACUCCACUUCCGCUGGGGAGGGCUUUCACACAUGCGUAGAUCCCCCCUUCAGGACAGAUUGUUCACAUAUGUGCAUGACCACCUGUCGGGUCGGGAGGGUGUUCACUCAUGGGCACACCCCACCUCUGCAUGGGAGAUGGUUCAUGCAUGUGUCUUGCUCACCUCAGCAGGGAGGGCUUUUACGCAUGUGCACAGCCCCACCUUGGUGUGGGAGGAGGUCACCCAUGCAGAGCGCCACCCUUCAAUGAGGGAAUAGUGAUGCCAUUAUUAAAUGUGACGUUUCAUGAAUGGUUCUUUUCAAUUUCACAGCUGAAGUAGCAGACAACUCUUAAGCUGAAGAAGCAUGCAUCACUUAAGCUGAAGAAACACAGCUGAAGAAACGUGGCCAGGGAGGGCGUUGACGUAUGCUCCCCGCUCCCCUCGCCAGGAUGGUGUUCACACAUGUGCAAAGCCCCCCCCCCUUGCCAAAGGGGGUUCAGGCAUGCCCACAACCCCCGCUCUGUGAGGCAGACCAUUUGUACAGGCACACAACCCUCCCUCAGCAAGGGACAGUGUUCAUGCUUGGCCCCACUCACCUCGGUGGGAAGGGUGUUCACACAUGCACAUAACCCCCCUCAGCAUUGGAGGGCGUUCAAACAUGUGCCCCACCCCACUUGACGCCAGAGGUGGUUCAGGAUUCUGCCUUGCCCCUGGUUGGUGUGUGAGAUGGUCACCCAUGCACAGUGCCACCUUUUAGGGAGAGAGUAGUGAUGUCACUAUUAAAUGUGAUAUUUCACGAAUGGUUCUUUCACUUUCACAGCUGAAGAAACACACAUCUCUUAAGGCUUGCAUCUUCCCUCUACCUCUAUACUCCAAGUUCCGGGCUGGCACUGGAAUUACAUCUUUAGCACGGACAUCAUAACCUCCAGGUGAGAUUCAGGCUUGUUUCUGGGAAGAAACCCUGACAGAAAUUCAGAAGAACGGGAGCUGCAUUCCGUUAGGACAUGAAUACAUGAAAUGCUCGUCUUGGGAACUCCUAGAAGAAUGAGCUGGGACCCACUUUCCGAGUCCUGCUAGAACCAGUGACCAAGAAAAUAAAAACGCCCUGGAAGACAAGCGUGCCACAUUGAGGUCUGUGAAAGCCACAAAGGAAGCGAAAGUCAAACAGCUGAAGGAGAAAGCACAUACCCUGGAAGAAUUCUAUGAACAAAGAAAAGUGCCUACAAAAAAGCAACAAAUUGAACAAACACGGGAACAGCUGCAGCAGGCAGAGCUCACCUUUAGAUACCAGCUUGCAGUUCAUGAGAAGAAUGCUCAGGACAACUAGACUGGAAGGGAUGGAAGCAAAGAGGCUGCCUGAGGGAUACACGGGGCAGAAACCAAUGGCUGCAAGACCAGAGACGCAGAACCCUCCGAGGAGAGGACAGUCUGGAUCCUGGGGACCUCCUCGGUUAACUGGACGAUUCUGCAUGCCCUGCCCUGGAGACGCCCCGCCCCCAUGGACUAUUAGGCAUGUCCACCUCCUGAACCUUGGUGGCCCUGGGGCCACCCGGAACCCCUCCACCUGCAACACUUGGAUUUUUUGCAGGUCCAGAAGUGGUGUCACAACCAAGAGUGACAUCGACACUGGCUCUGCCAAAACUGCAGAGAAGCACAAAGUAAAUGCUGUGGCCAUUUUCAGUUCUAAGUAUUUACGGACAGCCACAUCUUUCUGUACAGGACAGUCGCCUGCCAUUGUCUCUGGUUUGUGUGAAGUAUGUUCUGUCUGCUGUUUUUGUUUUUUUCCCAAAUGCAAAACCUUUACCGCCGAGUCUAUGGGCUUCCCUGUUUUCCAGCUGGCAUCUGUUUUUGAUAACUUGAGCAGCUAAGCGUGCCUAAAGGUGGGGACCAUAGGGCCUUUCCAAUGUGUUCCUGGAAUAAAUCAAGGAGGAUAACACCACAUUCCACUU